rnacentral:rRNA from 1 species
UACGGAGGGAGCUAGCGUUGUUCGGAAUUACUGGGCGUAAAGCGCGCGUAGGCGGCUUUGUAAGUUAGAGGUGAAAGCCCGGAGCUCAACUCCGGAACUGCCUUUAAAACUGCAUCGCUUGAAUCCAGGAGAGGUGAGUGGAAUUCCGAGUGUAGAGGUGAAAUUCGUAGAUAUUAGGAAGAACACCAGUGGCGAAGGCGG